AAACCAGCACCUCAAGUGGUCAGGAGGAUUAUUGGGCCUAAAGCAUCCGUAGCCUGCUCUGUAAGUUUCCGGUUAAAUUCAUUAGCUCAACUAAUGGCCUGCCGGAAAUACUGCAGAGCUAGGAAGUGGGAGAGGUAGACGGUACUCGGUAGGAAGGGGUAAAAUCCUUUGAUCUAUUGAUGACCACCUGUGGCGAAGGCGGUCUACCAGAACACGUUCGACGGUGAGGGAUGAAAGCUGGGGGAGCAAACCGGAUUAGAAACCCGUGUAGUCC
rnacentral:rRNA from 1 species